GGUUGUAAGGGUGAUCUGGCUGCAACAUCUGUCAUCCCAUUGAUUGCCAGAGUUGAUUUGGCUGAUCUGGCUGGCUAGGUGAGUGUCCCCUUCCUCCCUCUCUGCUCCAUGUACAUCCCUCCUGAAGCUGCACACUUGGCCAAAGAGGAUGACCUUCUCUGAUAGAAGAGGACUGGACCAUUCUUCAGUCAAGGGUAUACAAGUAGCUGUGCUCCCCUGCUAGAACCUUCAAGGAGGCUCUCAAGAUCAAUAGGUAUAAAAAUAUAGUUAGAAAGAACAAUAUUUGAUAACACAACAAAGCAACUAUAAUCAAUGAUAAGUU
rnacentral:snRNA from 1 species